UACGUAGGGGGCAAGCGUUGUCCGGAUUUAUUGGGCGUAAAGAGCGUGUAGGCGGUUUGGUAGGUCCGUUGUGAAAACUCGAGGCUCAACCUCGAGACGCCGAUGGAAACCAUCAGACUAGAGUCCGGAAGAGGAGAGUGGAAUUCCUGGUGUAGCGGUGAAAUGCGCAGAUAUCAGGAAGAACACCCGUGGCUAAGGCGGCUCUCUAGUACGGUACUGACGCUGAGGCGCGACAGCGUGGGGAGCAAACAGG
rnacentral:rRNA from 1 species